rnacentral:rRNA from 1 species
GGAGACGCUGGCGGCGUGCUUACACAUGCAGUCGUAACGGUGAAGCCAAGCUUGCUUGGUGGAUCAGUGGCGAACGGGUGAGUAACACGUGAGCAACCUGCCCUGGACUCUGGGAUAAGCGCUGGAAACGGCGUCUAAUACUGGAUAUGAGCUCUCAUCGCAUGGUGGGGGUUGGAAAGAUUUUUCGGUCUGGGAUGGGCUCGCGGCCUAUCAGCUUGUUGGUGAGGUAAUGGCUCACCAAGGCGUCGACGGGUAGCCGGCCUGAGAGGGUGACCGGCCACACUGGGACUGAGACACGGCCCAGACUCCUACGGGAGGCAGCAGUGGGGAAUAUUGCACAAUGGGCGGAAGCCUGAUGCAGCAACGCCGCGUGAGGGAUGACGGCCUUCGGGUUGUAAACCUCUUUUAGCAAGGAAGAAGCGGAAGUGACGGUACUUGCAGAAAAAGCGCCGGCUAACUACGUGCCAGCAGCCGCGGUAAUACGUAGGGCGCAAGCGUUAUCCGGAAUUAUUGGGCGUAAAGAGCUCGUAGGCGGUUUGUCGCGUCUGCUGUGAAAUCCC